UACGUAGGGUGCAAGCGUUAAUCGGAAUUACUGGGCGUAAAGCGUGCGCAGGCGGUGAUGUAAGACAGAUGUGAAAUCCCCGGGCUCAACCUGGGAACUGCAUUGUGACUGCAUCGCUGGAGUGCGGCAGAGGGGGAUGGAAUUCCGCGUGUAGCAGUGAAAUGCGUAGAUAUGCGGAGGAACACCGAUGGCGAAGGCAAUCCCCUGGGCCUGCACUGACGCUCAUGCACGAAAGCGUGGGAGCAAACAGGAU
rnacentral:rRNA from 1 species